rnacentral:rRNA from 1 species
UACGGGGGGAGCAAGCGUUGUUCGGAUUUACUGGGCGUAAAGGGCGCGUAGGCGGUCAGCACAAGUCAGUUGUGAAAUCUCCGGGCUUAACUCGGAACGGUCAACUGAUACUGUGCGACUAGAGUGCGGUAGGGGAGACUGGAAUUCCUGGUGUAGCGGUGAAAUGCGCAGAUAUCAGGAGGAACACCGGUGGCGAAGGCGGGUCUCUGGGCCGUAACUGACGCUGAGGAGCGAAAGCAUGGGGAGCGAACAGG